rnacentral:rRNA from 1 species
GACGAACGCUGGCGGCGUGCUUAACACAUGCAAGUCGAACGGAAAGGCCCUUCGGGGUACUCGAGUGGCGAACGGGUGAGUAACACGUGGGUGAUCUGCCCUGCACUUUGGGAUAAGCCUGGGAAACUGGGUCUAAUACCGAAUAGGACCGCAUGCUUCAUGGUGUGUGGUGGAAAGCUUUUGCGGUGUGGGAUGGGCCCGCGGCCUAUCAGCUUGUUGGUGAGGUAAUGGCUUACCAAGGCGACGACGGGUAGCCGGCCUGAGAGGGUGACCGGCCACACUGGGACUGAGAUACGGCCCAGACUCCUACGGGAGGCAGCAGUGGGGAAUAUUGCACAAUGGGCGCAAGCCUGAUGCAGCGACGCCGCGUGAGGGAUGACGGCCUUCGGGUUGUAAACCUCUUUCGCCAGGGACGAAGCGCAAGUGACGGUACCUGGAGAAGAAGGACCGGCCAACUACGUGCCAGCAGCCGCGGUAAUACGUAGGGUCCGAGCGUUGUCCGGAAUUACUGGGCGUAAAGAGCUCGUAGGUGGUUUGUCGCGUUGUUCGUGAAAACUCACAGCUUAACUGUGGGCGUGCGGGCGAUACGGGCAGACUUGAGUACUGCAGGGGAGACUGGAAUUCCUGGUGUAGCGGUGGAAUGCGCAGAUAUCAGGAGGAACACCGGUGGCGAAGGCGGGUCUCUGGGCAGUAACUGACGCUGAGGAGCGAAAGCGUGGGGAGCGAACAGGAUUAGAUACCCUGGUAGUCCACGCCGUAAACGGUGGGCACUAGGUGUGGGUUUCCUUCCUUGGGAUCCGUGCCGUAGCUAACGCAUUAAGUACCCCGCCUGGGGAGUACGGCCGCAAGGCUAAAACUCAAAGAAAUUGACGGGGGCCCGCACAAGCGGCGGAGCAUGUGGAUUAAUUCGAUGCAACGCGAAGAACCUUACCUGGGUUUGACAUGCACAGGACGCCGGCAGAGAUGUCGGUUCCCUUGUGGCCUGUGUGCAGGUGGUGCAUGGCUGUCGUCAGCUCGUGUCGUGAGAUGUUGGGUUAAGUCCCGCAACGAGCGCAACCCUUGUCUCAUGUUGCCAGCACGUUAUGGUGGGGACUCGUGAGAGACUGCCGGGGUCAACUCGGAGGAAGGUGGGGAUGACGUCAAGUCAUCAUGCCCCUUAUGUCCAGGGCUUCACACAUGCUACAAUGGCCGGUACAAAGGGCUGCGAUGCCGUGAGGUGGAGCGAAUCCUUUCAAAGCCGGUCUCAGUUCGGAUCGGGGUCUGCAACUCGACCCCGUGAAGUCGGAGUCGCUAGUAAUCGCAGAUCAGCAACGCUGCGGUGAAUACGUUCCCGGGCCU